AUAAUAAUCAUCAUCAUCAUCAUCAUCAUCUUGUUUUAGGUUCAUUUGUGAAGGGCAAUCCAAGAUUGGUAGUGACAUUUCCCCCUCAUUAGUGAGAUAGGCAUGCUAUGAACACUUGGAAAUUCUUAGAUGAAAAGCUUUUAGUAUUCACCAGUGGAACACCAUGUAAUCUUCUGAAUCAAAAUGUCCCAUUCCUCUCCACUUUUGCUUUUUCAGUGUUUGUACAUUCCACUUCUUUUUUAUGAUGUGUAGUUUGCCAGCUAACAUUUCUUUCUUCCUAUAAUAUAUGUAGUGGAACUUUGGACUGUCCUUUCAUCACUGGGCAUGUUAACAGGCUUACUCAAAGGUAAAAGGAAAUAGACUUUUAGCUUGAGUUGAGUAGCAUGAUUAGCCAAAGUGCUACUCAUAAUUGUCUUUUUCUGUACCCAAUAGUACAUUGAGUGUCAUAUGAACUGAGAGUUUCAUUUUCUGGUUCUAUCUCUUGUUUCAUUUUGAAUUGCCACAUCAUAGGGGUUUCGCAUGCUCCCUUCUGUACCAACAAAACUUAACUAUGGUCCCACCCACAUUGUCAGGAAGAGAUCCUCUGCCAGUGUCACCUCCUCAUUUCCACCAUUACUACUGCCACCUGAUAGCGGUUUUGCACAGCUACCUUCUGAUUUAUCUUCUCUGCAACAUCUUAUCUGUCAUGGGAAAUCCUAAUGGAGCCACUGCAGCUUUCAGCAUAAUCUCUUGCCUAAUAGCAGUAAGCAAGCCCACCACUGGAAAGGUAAUAUCAUUGAUGAGCUUCCUCUUUUAUCAAUUACUUAACCCUCUGUGUUCUUUCUGAUGUUCCUAAGAUUAUCUUCCCUUGCUCCCUCCCUCCUUUCUUCUCUCUUCCCUUUUUCCACAUGUAUCUCUCAUCCCCAAAAUAUGUUUUUCCACCCACACUCACUCUUUGUUUUAGUUUGCAUCUCUUCCUCCCUCCUGAUGUUGCAUUUUGCAAUAUUCUUCGGAUUCCUUUUCCAUCCUUCCAGUUAUUUUGUUCCAUAACAUUUCAAGUUUAUGUUGGUGCUUCAGCUAUCAUGGAGUGAAAUCUUAGGGGAUCACAUCAAAGGAGCCAACAAGGGGGAUGUAAAAACAAUAUAACAAGUGAAAAUUCAAUUUGGAAUUUUAUUUCCCAUACUUAUAUCUUGCCGUUCUCACCCCAAAGUGGACACAGGGUGGCCUCACAAUCACCAAAUAUAUUUGAUAUAUUCCUCCUAGAAAAUUUUUGUAAGUUGCAUUAACUUUCAGUAAGAAAAAAGGGAUUUUCAUUCUGGUUUACAUUUUAAGAAAAGAAAAGGAAAGCAUAAUUGAGAUCAUUUAAUAUAUACACACUGCUUUCAGUCUCUAUUCAGUCUCUCAGUUAACAUCAUCUGCUCUCAAAUCUUUGUUGUCACAGAAACCAGCUGAAUCCAAGAUGCCUGGGUAAGAACUACAAAUCUUACAAAGGGAAUGGAUUGUCCUAAUUCCUGCACUGUUUCUAGGGUUGGAAAGAAGUUCCUUAUAUGACCAUAUAAUAAUAAUAAUAAUAAUAAUAAUAAUAAUAAUAAUAAUAAUAAUAAUAACUUUAUUUUUAUACCCCGCCCCAUCUCCCCGAAGGGACUCGGGGCGGCUUACAUGGGGCCUGGCCUGAUAAAACAAACAAAUAACAGUAACAAAGCAAUAAAACAAUUAUCCCAGUAAAAAACACCAACAUCAAUAAAAACAAUCAUUAAAAUCAACAAGCAGGAUACAGUGUUAAAAACAAGAGACUAAUUCGUAGAUCCCAGGCGAAAUGCAGAGUGUUACGAAAUAGGAAAAGGAAAUUUCACAGUUGAAUGGCCAAUAAAGUGCGGUAUAAAAUGGCAAGACAACACCAAUGGGACUAUUAUGGAAUGGACAGAUAGAUCAAUCCAGCAACAACUAAACAUCGAAGGCCUUUUGGAAGAGCCAGGUUUUUAAGCUCUUCCGGAAGGAGAGGAGGGUAGGGGCCUGCCUGAUCUCUCUAGGUAGAGAGUUCCAAAGCCGGGGGGCCACGACGGAGAAGGCCCUCUCUCUCGUCCCCACCAACCGUGACUGUGAGGGUGGUGGGAGCGAGAGAAGGGCCUCCCCCGACGAGCGAAGAGAACAUGUGGGUUCAUAGAGGGAGAUGCGGUCUCUAAGGUAGGUGGGUCCCAAACCGUUUAGGACUUUGUAGGUGAUAACCUGCACCUUGAAUUGGGCCCGGAAAGUAAAUGGUCUUUGCUAUACAAGCAGGUAGUUAUUAAUACUGUUUCUCACCACUGUAGAGCUGAAGAGGUUUUUAAACAGUCACGAAUUGGGGAAGACAUUUCCAUAUUCCCAUUCCAGUUAAAAGACAUUAAGAAGUGAAUCUAAUUAGAACAGAGUUUCUUUUGAUCUGCAGUUUGUGAGGUUGUCUUUACUUUGAAAGUCUUUGUUCUACCUGGGAAACUUGGUUUUUGUGGCCGAAACUCCGUGAAAUUGGUGGACACUGGUGGACACAGUGCUGCCACAAUGCACAAUGCGCAAUGUGCUGUCACAGGCAUCUGGGAAAGAGACCAUUGCAUGGACACUGGGCAGCCACUGUGCACAUGUAGAGUUCACAGUGUGAACCCCUGGGUGCAAUGCCGACAUAUUACCGCCAGCCAAAAAGGCAGGCAUCCCCACCCCACCCCAGGAGGGAAUCUUUCCCGAACUGAAGGAUACUGCGGCUGCACCCAAACCAAACCAUACCAAACCAAAACCAAUCCAAACCACUGCAGCAGCUUCCAGGAAACUGAAGCCAGCGCUGAAGGACCAGCUCCCAUUUUGCUCCCAUCUUGAAAAUCAUGAAAACCAUUGAACACACAAAGGUUGUCUGUUCUGUUUGAACAGGAAAAAUAAAUAACCCUGUCCUGUGUUAUGCAUCAGAUGCUUAAAAAUUGGGGGAAAGCAUGCCAGUUUUGGAAACUCUACAUGAAAACAAAUCUGGCUGACGGUGAUGGACACUGGACAGAGCAAACAGCAUCAGCAGCCACGACCCUGGGGGGGGGGGGGUCAGCAUCAGCAAACUGAAGUGACCCUUCCGAAAGCUCAAAAAGAUGUGGGAGGACAUCAUGCCGCCAUGUAACUGCCAGGCAAAAAGCCAUAUGCCCCCCCCCCCCCCCCGCUGGCCACAGUUGGCCAGUCACAGCCCCGGAGAAAUAUA